rnacentral:rRNA from 1 species
AUGAAGGCAUACACGGCUGCCGAGGACAAGCUUCAUUGCGAGUGUUGGCGGGACAUUGGACAAGACCCCCAGACGGGCGCCGAACAAAAACAUUCAACCUUUUGGAUUCGUGUCCACCGAGAGUUUCAUGGGCGCAAAAAGUUUCCGCCUUAUCAAAUUGUGAGCACACGCGGGUGGGUGCCCAUUUCCAAGCGAUGGAACAAGAGUGCAACAAGUUUUGUGCCACUCUUGAGAGCGUCAAGGCCCGCCCCGUGA